rnacentral:rRNA from 1 species
GACGAACGCUGGCGGCGUGCUUAACACAUGCAAGUCGUACGGUAAGGCCCUUUCGGGGGUACACGAGUGGCGAACGGGUGAGUAACACGUGAGUAACCUGCCCACAACUUUGGGAUAACGCUAGCAAACUGGUGCUAAUACUGGAUAUGUGCUCCUGCUGCAUGGUGGGGGUUGGAAAGCUCCUGCGGGUGUGGAUGGACUCGCGGCCUAACAGCUUGUUGGUGGGGUAGUGGCCUACCAAGGCGGCGACGGGUUGCCGGCCUGAAAGGGUGACCGCCCACAUUGGGACUGAGAUACGGCCCAGACACCUACGGGACGGAACAGAGGGAAGAAAUGCACAAUGAGCACCAGCCGGAUGCAGACACGCCGCGUGCGGGAGGACGGCCUUAGGGUUGUGAGCCGCUUUCAGCAGGGACGAAGCAUUUUGUGACGGUACCGGCAGAAGAAGCACAGGCUAACUACGUG